UACAGAGGGGCGAGCGUUGUUCGGAAUUACUGGGCGUAAAGGGCGCGUAGGCGGCCUGCUAUGUCGAACGUGAAAUCCCCGGGCUCAACCCGGGAACUGCGUCCGAAACUGGCAGGCUUGAAUCCGGGAGAGGGAUGUGGAAUUCCAGGUGUAGCGGUGAAAUGCGUAGAUAUCUGGAGGAACACCGGUGGCGAAGGCGGCAUCCUGGACCGGUAUUGACGCUGAGGCGCGAAAGCCAGGGGAGCAAACGGGG
rnacentral:rRNA from 1 species